GCGGUGCAUUAGCUAGUUGGUAAGGUAACGGCUUACCAAGGCAAUGAUGCAUAGCCGAGUUGAGAGACUGAUCGGCCACAUUGGGACUGAGACACGGCCCAAACUCCUACGGGAGGCAGCAGUAGGGAAUCUUCCACAAUGGACGCAAGUCUGAUGGAGCAACGCCGCGUGAGUGAAGAAGGUCUUCGGAUCGUAAAACUCUGUUAUUAGGGAAGAACAAAUGUGUAAGUAACUAUGCACGUCUUGACGGUACCUAAUCAGAAAGGGACGGCUAACUACGUGCCAGCAGCCGCGGUAAUACGUAGGUCCCGAGCGUUGUCCGGAUUUAUUGGGCGUAAAGCGAGCGCAGGCGGUUAGAUAAGUCUGAAGUUAAAGGCUGUGGCUUAACCAUAGUACGCUUUGGAAACUGUUUAACUUGAGUGCAGAAGGGGAGAGUGGAAUUCCAUGUGUAGCGGUGAAAUGCGUAGAUAUAGUGGAGGGUCGACGCGGCCG
rnacentral:rRNA from 1 species